rnacentral:rRNA from 1 species
GAUGAACGCUGGCGGCGUGCCUAAUACAUGCAAGUCGAGCGAACAGACGAGGAGCUUGCUCCUCUGACGUUAGCGGCGGACGGGUGAGUAACACGUGGAUAACCUACCUAUAAGACUGGGAUAACUUCGGGAAACCGGAGCUAAUACCGGAUAAUAUAUUGAACCGCAUGGUUCAAUAGUGAAAGACGGUUUUGCUGUCACUUAUAGAUGGAUCCGCGCCGCAUUAGCUAGUUGGUAAGGUAACGGCUUACCAAGGCAACGAUGCGUAGCCGACCUGAGAGGGUGAUCGGCCACACUGGAACUGAGACACGGUCCAGACUCCUACGGGAGGCAGCAGUAGGGAAUCUUCCGCAAUGGGCGAAAGCAUGACGGAGCAACGCAGCGUGAGUGAUGAAGGUCUUCGGAUCGUAAAACUCUGUUAUUAGGGAAGAACAAAUGUGUAAGUAACUAUGCACGUCUUGACGGUACCUAAUCAGAAAGCCACGGCUAACUACGU